rnacentral:rRNA from 1 species
GACGAACGCUGGCGGCGUGCUUAACACAUGCAAGUCGAACGGUGAAGCGGGUGCUUGCACUCGUGGAUCAGUGGCGAACGGGUGAGUAACACGUGAGUAACCUGCCCUCCACUCUGGGAUAAGCGCUGGAAACGGCGUCUAAUACUGGAUACGACCGACCCUCGCAUGGGGUGUUGGUGGAAAGAUUUAUCGGUGGUGGAUGGACUCGCGGCCUAUCAGCUUGUUGGUGGGGUAAUGGCCUACCAAGGCGACGACGGGUAGCCGGCCUGAGAGGGCGACCGGCCACACUGGGACUGAGACACGGCCCAGACUCCUACGGGAAGCAGCAGUGGGGAAUAUUGCACAAUGGGCGAAAGCCUGAUGCAGCGACGCCGCGUGAGGGAUGACGGCCUUCGGGUUGUAAACCUCUUUCAGCAGGGAAGAAGCUUUGUGACGUACCUGCA